GAGGGUAUAGCUCAAUGGUAGAGUGCAUGCUUAGCACGCACAAGGUUCUGGGUUCAAUCCCCAGUAUCUCA
rnacentral:tRNA from 1 species